rnacentral:rRNA from 1 species
AUUGAACGCUGGCGGCAGGCCUAACACAUGCAAGUCGAGCGGAUGAAGGGAGCUUGCUCCUGGAUUCAGCGGCGGACGGGUGAGUAAUGCCUAGGAAUCUGCCUGGUAGUGGGGGAUAACGUCCGGAAACGGGCGCUAAUACCGCAUACGUCCUGAGGGAGAAAGUGGGGGAUCUUCGGACCUCACGCUAUCAGAUGAGCCUAGGUCGGAUUAGCUAGUUGGUGGGGUAAAGGCCGACCAAGGCGACGAUCCGUAACUGGUCUGAGAGGAUGAUCAGUCACACUGGAACUGAGACACGGUCCAGACUCCUACGGGAGGCAGCGGUGGGGAAUAUUGGGCAAUGGACGAAAGCCUGAUCCAGCCAUGCCGCGUGUGUGAAGAAAGUCUUCGGAUUGUAAAGAACUUUAAGUUGGGAGGAAGGGCAGUAAGUUAAUACCUUGCUGUUUUGACGUUACCAACAAAAUAAGCACCGGCUAACUUCGUG